rnacentral:rRNA from 1 species
UGGGGAAUUUUGGACAAUGGGCGAAAGCCUGAUCCAGCAAUGCCGCGUGUGUGAAGAAGGCCUUCGGGUUGUAAAGCACUUUUGUCCGGAAAGAAAUCCUCUGGGUUAAUACCUCGGGGGGAUGACGGUACCGGAAGAAUAAGCACCGGCUAACUACGUGCCAGCAGCCGCGGUAAUACGUAGGGUGCAAGCGUUAAUCGGAAUUACUGGGCGUAAAGCGUGCGCAGGCGGUUUUGUAAGACGGAUGUGAAAUCCCCGGGCUUAACCUGGGAACUGCAUUCGUGACUGCAAGGCUAGAGUAUGGCAGAAGGGGGUAGAAUUCCACGUGUAGCAGUGAAAUGCGUAGAGAUGUGGAGGAAUACCGAUGGCGAAGGCAGCCCCCUGGGCCAAUACUGACGCUCAUGCACGAAAGCGUGGGGAGCAAACAGGAUUAGAUACCCUGGUAGUCCACGCCCUAAACGAUGUCAACUAGUUGUUGGGGAUUCAUUUCCUUAGUAACGUAGCUAACGCGUGAAGUUGACCGCCUGGGGAGUACGGUCGCAAGAUU